GGGCUUAUAGUAUAUCAUUGGAAAAGUCUUUUCAAAUCCCAUCUAACAACACAACUAUUGGACCCUGAUUAUGGACUAUAAUAAACUUUAGUGGACAUUUUUCAUAAAUAAGAUACAAAAUGAAUGAUUUUCGAAAACAGAAAGAAGUAUUUUUAUUAAAAAUAGAGGCAUCACGAGUAGGGGUGUUCAAAAAUACUCGACCCGUUUGACCCGACCUACUGACCCGCAAAAUACCCAACGGGUAUUUUUUGAGUUUUUUCCCCAUUUUGCGGGUCGGGUACCCAACCCGCUAAAAUAUCAGAUUCGCAGGUCGGGUAAUGGGCCGACCUCUGACUAUUUCGGGUACCCGUUAAAUACCCGCUUUUCUUUCUUUCUUUCUUUUUUUUUUUUUUUUUUUUUUUUAAUUUUAUUAGCUGGAAAGUGGAAACCCUUUAGGGAAUUAGGGUUACUACUCUUUCCUCUUUUUCACUAGUAGCUAGCCGCAUACUCACUCUCCCCUAUUCUCUCUCCUCUUUCACUGAAACACUUCCUCUCCUUCCUCCCUCUCAAGCGACCUCCUUCCUCCCUCUCAAUUUCUCAAAGUCUCAAGCGACCUCCUUCCUCCCUCCCGUCAGAUAGACCCUCUCACUCUCUCAGGCGACCUUCAUCAGCCGCGCAAGGUUAUAUUUGGUGGAAGCAGGUUUUUAAUAUGAUUUUGCUAAUUUGUUGCUGGAAGCAGGUUCACUAUGAAUUUGUGAAAACAUCAGCUUUUUUUUUUUUUUUUUUU